AAAUUAUUGUGGUUAUAUGUUUCUCAUUUUAGCUUCUCUUCCUUUCACUUCACAGCCCAAGUUUCCCACCAAAGUGAAAUUGGAGAAGACUAUAACAAAAUUUUUACCACAAGUAGAUAAGAUAAACUGUAAGCCUCUAUGGCAUCAGAAUCCCCCUUCAUUCCAGCUGCGAGGAGAAAAGGACACACAUGUUCCAGAACAGUUUCUGCUAAAAAAUGAGCUCACACCGGGAGAAUAUAUGGCUCAGAGACCUAAGAAGCGUAAAGUACAGGAUUCUCCAGACAUUGAUUUUGGGGCUGGACCAUCAACUUCUAAAGCAAAAACUGGUGGUAAAAGGGACCGUGAAAAUUUCAGAAGUGCUCUUGUUAACAUCAUUAUGCAACCAGACCUUCCAGAAGAAUCCCUUUCCAUAGAAGAAGCCAAACUAGGCAAAUCUGAAUCCACUGCUGCAAUAGAGAAAGACAUUUUGAAAUAUUUCUAUUAUAUUCGCCAUGGAAUAGAUACAGAACACGUGGCCCCAAUGGAAGACUCAUGGCUGGAUAAUGUCUUGGCACUGGUGCCAAAACACUUGAAAAUGCUCAGCGAAAGUGUUGGUGUGCUCUCGGAUGAAAUGCGAGAGGACUAUCUUCUCAGUGUGAAGAAAGCAAUAGUUGACUUUGUUUUAAGAGAUCCCAGGGAAAAAGAGGAAGACAAAACACAAGUUCUUCCACCUCAUCGUCAAGAGUAAGGAAAUGUUUUUUCUAAUAUAAUCUGGGAUUUCAUUCAGCUGUGUGGAAGGAGCCUGUGAAU
rnacentral:lncRNA from 11 species